UACGAGUGCCUCAAGCGUUAUCCGGAAUUAUUGGGCGUAAAGGGUGCGUAGGCGGUUUGGUAAGUCUGAUGUGAAAUCUAUGGGCUCAACUCAUAGUCUGCAUCGGAAACUGCCGGGCUUGAGUGUGGGAGAGGUGACUGGAAUUCCUGGUGUAGCAGUGAAAUGCGUAGAUAUCAGGAGGAAUACCGAUGGCGAAGGCAGGUCUCUGGGCUGACACUGACGCUCAUGCACGAAAGCGUGGGGAGCAAACAGG
rnacentral:rRNA from 1 species